GACGAACGCUGGCGGCGUGCCUAAUACAUGCAAGUCGAACGAAGCUUUUUUAACUGGUGCUUGCACCGACUUAAACAACUGAGUGGCGAACGGGUGAGUAACACGUGGGUAACCUGCCCCAAAGCGGGGGAUAACAUUUGAAAACAGAUGCUAAUACCGCAUAACCACAGAAAUCACAUGGUUUCUGAGUCAAAGAUGGGUUCGGCUAUCACUUUGGGAUGGACUCGCGGCGUAUUAGCUAGUUGGUAAGGUAAUGGCGUACCAAGUCAAUGAUCCGUAGCCGAACUGAGAGGUUGAGCGGCCACAUUGGGACUGAGACACGGCCCAUACUCCUACGGGAGGCAGCAGUAUGGAAUCUUCCACAAUGGGCGAAAGCCUGAUGGAGCAACACCGCGUGAGUGAAGAAGGGUUUCGGCUCGUAAAACUCUGUUGUUAAAGAAGAACGUAUCUAAGAGUAACUGCUUAGGUAGUGACGGUAUUUAACCAGUAAGCCACGGCUAACUACGUGCCAGCCGCCGCGGUAA
rnacentral:rRNA from 1 species